UGGGAGUUCAGAAUAACAUACAGGUCAUUGUCUUGUAAUUGGAAUGAUGGUGACGUAAAAUCUCACCAGAGUAACAAUUGGAGGGCAAGUCUGGUGCCAGCAGCCGCGGUAAUUCCAGCUCCAAUAGCGUAUAUUAAACUUGUUGCAGUUAAAAAGCUCGUAGUUGAAUUUCUGCGUUGCCCGACUCGGCUACUUGCCUUGUCUGGUUUCGCUUUUGGGGUUUUCCCCUUUUUACUUUGAGAAAAUUAGAGUGUUUCAAGCAGACUUGUGUCUUGAAUACUUCAGCAUGGAAUAAUAAAGUAGGACUUUGGUUCUAUUUUGUUGGUUUGUGAACCUUAGUAAUGGUUAAUAGGAACGGUUGGGGGCAUUCGUAUUUAAA
rnacentral:rRNA from 1 species